UUAACUGCCACCUGACAACCAACAUUCAAAGUUUUCGUUUUUCUUUUUCUUUUAUCCAAUUUCUACCUUCAAAAACCUCUUCUUAUAAGUACAAAACUUUCUUCCAACAAAAACUAAAAAUUUCAUCUGCUACUUCCAAAAAAGAAAAAAACUUUGCUUGUCAAUCUGCUCAUUAGUCGCUUUACAAGUUCUAACUCUGUUGCAGUUUCAGAGUUUCAAAAAAGCAUGGCAUCAGAUCAUGAGCAACCCGGGCUUUCCUCUCUUGGAAAGACUUCUGGUGAGAUUGGUUCAGAACAUGAACCUCUUAUUAACGGAACUCACAUUUCUGAAAGCUAUUCUGCUUCUGCUGCUAUUCUUCCAUUUCUUUUCCCAGCGCUUGGAGGACUCCUAUAUGGUUAUGAUAUUGGUUCUACAUCCUGUGCCACAAUUUCUAUUGAGUCAGCUACCCUAAGUGGAAUUUCUUGGUAUGACUUGUCUUCUGUUGCAAUUGGUCUCAUUACAAGUGGCUCAUUAUAUGGGGCCUUGAUUGGCUCAGUCUUGGCUUUCAAUAUUGCUGAUUUUCUAGGACGACGAAGAGAGCUAAUUACCUCUGCCAUCAUGUACCUUGUUGGAGCUCUUGUGACAGCAUUUUCACCUAACUUUGCAGUUAUGGUGAUUGGACGUUUUGCGUAUGGCAUAGGGAUUGGACUGGCAAUGCAUUCUGCUCCAAUGUACAUUGCUGAGACAGCUCCAAGUCAGAUUCGUGGUCUACUAAUUUCUCUCAAAGAGUUCUUUAUAGUUCUUGGGAUGGUUGCUGGUUAUGGGAUUGGCAGCCUCUUAGUUGAAACAGUUGCUGGCUGGCGCUAUAUGUAUGGAGCAAGUACCCCUUUGGCGGUGAUCAUGGGAAUUGGAAUGUGGUGGCUUCCAGCAUCACCCAGAUGGCUGCUAUUGCGUGCCAUACAGGGAAAAGGCAAUAUGCAGGAGUUAAAAGAAACCGCAAUACGUUGUUUAUGCCGACUCAGGGGUCAAUCUAUUGGUGAAUCAGCUUCUGAGCAGGUAGAUGAGAUUUUGACUGAGCUUUCUUAUGUUGGUGAAGAAAAAGAAGUCACACUUGGGGAAAUGUUCCGUGGAAAAUGCUUGAAAGCCAUGAUUAUUGGUGUAGGUUUAGUUUUGUUUCAACAGAUCACUGGUCAACCGAGUGUGCUAUAUUAUGCUGCAUCAAUCUUUCAGAGUGCAGGAUUUUCUGCAGCAUCUGAUGCUACCCGAGUCUCUAUUCUACUUGGUUUACUGAAGUUGAUUAUGACAGGAGUAGCUGUUGUAGUUGUUGAUAGGCUUGGGAGGAGACCUUUAUUAUUGGGUGGUGUUUCUGGGAUGGUUAUUUCUUUGUUCCUUCUUGGCUCAUAUUACCUUUUCCUGGAUGAUGUGCCAGCUAUAGCUGUUGUUGCACUGCUUUUGUAUGUUGGGUGUUAUCAGUUAUCCUUUGGUCCUAUUGGUUGGCUGAUGAUCUCGGAGGUAUUUCCCCUACGUCUCAGAGGGCGAGGACUUAGUAUAGCUGUGCUUGUGAAUUUUGGAGCAAAUGCACUUGUUACAUUUGCAUUCUCUCCUCUGAAGGCAUGGCUGGGAGCUGGAAUUGUGUUUUAUGUGUUUGGAGUGAUAGCGAUAUGAACUACUUCAUCUCAGGUGCUAGCUUGCUUCCUAUCAUAAGCUCUUUGCAUGAUAUCUUGGAUUGACUUUGUAAUGUUGAGCCAAUUUCUCGUUGGCAAACUGUUCUGCAAAUAGCGCCAAGUUGAGCGUAGAUGACAACAAGACAUCAGAAAUGGUACAGCUUGGCCGUGGGAUUAGCUUCUCAAAUAGUUUUUGAACUGGCUUCUCGAGCAUGUUGGUUGCUUGGAAGAAAUUCAAGGCUUAAGCCAAAAGAAGACAGCAUAUCGAAGUUCUCACACCCUUUCUGGCAAUCCUGAUUCUAGACAUGGAAAUCGAAAUUCAACUAAACGGAUAGGGUUGCAUUAUGAGAAGUUGUGACUAUGGUUACGAUCACGCCUUGCUGUGCCAAUAAUCCAGCGAUGACUGUCAUGGGCAGAUUGGGGGUCAUAUGGCCAUGAGCCAUGAUUCCCACGAUAAAGUGAAGCUGCUCUUUCUAAACUCCUUGUUUCUUCAGAGAUACUGAUUUAAUGCUUCUUUGCAUCUUCUCUCUUGUUUUUCUCAGCCGUCAUGAUGUGUUAGAAUGUCUAAUUUAUAGAGAAAUUGAAAAAAUAGCUGUUAAGGGUGGGUUGAAGAAGAGAAUGACCAUUGAAACUUGAAGAAACUAGCCACUGGAGCCAAUCAAGCACGACUUGAUCUAUUGAUUCAAGUACCCAAUCGAUCCUCUAAUUAAGGUGAUUGAUCCACUAUAAUGGGUGAUUGAAACUUUCUUGCACUUUGAAACUAAGAUUGCUUCAUGGACGAUUACCUGAUCGAUUUUGUAGCCAAUUUCACAAGUUCCUGCUACUUUUUGCUUGAGACUGGAUCGAUCCAUACAAAGACUCGAUUGAUUCUAUCCAUGAAAUCUUAUACCCGAUCGAUUCUUUUAAUUAGGAGAUUGAUUGAUUUUUGUAA